GACGCCGAGAGGAAAGGAGUGACGCAGUGUGCUGCAGUGACAUGCUCGCUGUGAGUUACAAAAAUGUGGUGUAGGCGUUGCGUCGCUGGUUACCCCUUAAUGUAACCCCUCCACUACCCACCACCACCACGAGAACACCACCACCACCACCACCACCACCACGAGAACACCUCCACCACGACUACUGCCACCAUAACCACCGCCACCAUCACCACCACCACCACCAUGGAGUGAGGUGAGUAAGAGCCAGCACGAAAAGGAAGAUGGGUCCCAGUGCCCCGGUGUGGCGGUCAGUCUCGUCCCCGUGAUUCGGUUUGUCCCAUCCUGAUCUGCGCAUGCGCGGGCUUUGCUAUUUUGUCC